GGCGGUGUUUGGCACCUCGAUGUCGGCUCAUCACAUCCUGGGGCUGAAGUAGGUCCCAAGGGUAUGGCUGUUCGCCAUUUAAAGUGGUACGCGAGCUGGGUUUAGAACGUCGUGAGACAGUUCGGUCCCUAUCUGCCGUGGGCGCUGGAGAAGUGAGGGGGGCUGCUCCUAGUACGAGAGGACCGGAGUGGACGCAUCACUGGUGUUCGGGUUGUCAUGCCAAUGGCACUGCCCGGUAGCUAAAUGCGGAAGAGAUAAGUGCUGAAAGCAUCUAAGCACGAAACUUGCCCCGAGAUGAGUUCUCCCUGACUCCUUGAGAGUCCUGAAGGAACGUUGAAGACGACGACGUUGAUAGGCCGGGUGUGUAAGCGCAGCGAUGCGUUGAGCUAACCGGUACUAAUGAACCGUGAGGCUUAACCUUACAACGCCGAAGGUGUUU
rnacentral:rRNA from 1 species